AGUGCCCGACACACUUCCUCAGGGGCACACAGUCCGGGUCUUCUCAAGUCAUGUUCGAUAUCUAGUUAAGGGGUACAUUUAUCUCCAGCGUUCCCCGGGACCUUCCCUUUUGAUUUUCAAGAACAUUUUCUUCCCUCUGCCAGAGCAGUCCUUUCGAAUCAAAGGCUCGGCUUUUCCAAAGUGUAGUUUCUGAUGUGGGCUUCAGUGGACUGGCUGCGAAGUUCCUGAGACAAUGAGAGGGAAUGCUGGCUGCCUCUUUCUCUUUAUCUUCUCGCAGUAAAGCUCCAGUUCUCCUCGAGGUGACCCUCGUUUGUGUGAAGUCAACACAACUGACCAGCACACCAUCUGAAUGCUACAGCGGGAUGGAGAUGGGAGGCGAAGCCUUGGAAGCUGCAGGGUGAAUAGCUGGUGUGCACAACCCCCUAGCAACGGGCAAACAAGGCAGGACUCCGGAGUGUGGAAUGGGAGUCAGGGCUUAAUGGGCACAAAGUUUCCAUUUGGUUGUAGAGACGAUGGUGCUGAUGGCUAGAAGGCGUCUUGAAUGUGCCGAAUGCCACCAAACUGCACAAUUGAAACAGAUAAGAUGGUGAAUGUUGUGUGUGUUUUCCUGCCACCGAAUACUGUAUUCUUUUUUUUUUUUCCUGGUAUGUUUUAUUCUUGUGUAAUCAGCUUUGUGGGGUUUUUUUUUCCCCUUCCAGAUUAACUGGAGAAUCAACUUGUCACAUUCUAUUAAAAGUCCCUUUGAUAUUUUUACUGCAGUUACAUCAAGUUUAUGGAUUGCCUUGGGGAGAAGUGACAUUUUUAUGGCCCUGAUCUUUCCCCCAGGUGGAGGCCUUCUCAUUGACUGGGAUCUCUUUAUGUCUUUCAGUAAAGUUGUAUAAUUCC
rnacentral:lncRNA from 1 species